rnacentral:rRNA from 1 species
CCCCGCUUAACACUUGCAAGUCGAACCGUUGUAGCAAUACAGCAGUGGCGCACGGGUGAGUAACGCGUGGAUAUCUGCCUUUUGAUUCGGAAUAACUCCGGGAAACUGGAGCUAAUACCGGAUGGUUCCUACGGGAUAAAGAUUUAUCGCCAAAAGAUGAGUCCGCGUACGAUUAGCUAGUUGGUGAGGUAAUGGCUCACCAAGGCGACGAUCGUUAGCUGGUCUGAGAGGACGAUCAGCCACACUGGGACUGAGACACGGCCCAGACUCCUACGGGAGGCAGCAGUGGGGAAUAUUGGACAAUGGGGGCAACCCUGAUCCAGCCAUGCCGCGUGAGUGAUGAAGGCCUUCGGGUUGUAAAGCUCUUUUGGCGGGGACGAUGAUGACGGUACCCGCAGAAUAAGCCCCGGCUAACUUCGUGCCAGCAGCCGCGGUAAGACGAAGGGGGCUAGCGUUGUUCGGAAUUACUGGGCGUAAGGCGAGUGUAGGUGGUUGUCAUAGUCAGGUGUGAAAGCCUUGAGCUCACUCAAAAAAUGCACUUGAUACUGGGCGACUAAAG